AUGACAACUUCAUGGAGUGACCGGCUACAAAAUGCAGCAGAUCUUCCUGCAAACAUGGAUGGCCAUGCUCUGAAAAAGUACCGGCGGGAAGCAUAUCACCGGGUUUUUGUGAAUAGAAGUCUAGCCAUGGAAAAAAUAAAGUGCUUUGGAUUUGAUAUGGAUUAUACUUUAGCUGUGUAUAAAUCACCAGAAUAUGAAUCCCUUGGAUUUGACUUGACCGUCGAACGGUUAGUUUCAAUUGGAUAUCCUCAAGAGCUGCUUAGUUUUGUCUAUGAUCCUACAUUCCCUACCAGAGGCCUGGUAUUUGAUUCUCUUUAUGGAAACCUGUUAAAAGUUGAUGCCUAUGGGAACAUCCUAGUGUGUGCACAUGGCUUUAACUUUAUGAGAGGGCCAGAAAUACGAGAACAGUAUCCUAAUAAAUUCAUUCAGAGAGAUGAUACUGACAGGUUUUACAUUUUAAACACACUGUUCAACUUACCAGAGACAUAUCUGUUGGCUUGUCUGAUUGAUUUCUUUACUAAUUGUGACAGAUAUUCAAGCUGUGAAACAGGAUUUAAAGAGGGAGACCUUUUCAUGUCCUUCAGAAGCAUGUUCCAGGAUGUGAGAGAUGCUGUGGACUGGGUUCAUUAUAAGGGCUCACUUAAGGAGAAGACAGUUGAGAAUCUAUACAAGUAUGUGGUGAAAGAUGGAAAGCUUCCACUGCUGUUGAGUCGCAUGACUGAGGUGGGAAAGGUGUUUCUUGCCACAAACAGUGAUUAUAAAUAUACUGAUAAAAUUAUGACAUAUCUGUUUGAUUUUCCACAUGGACCAAAGCCAGGUAGCUCUCAUCGACCAUGGCAGUCUUAUUUCGAUCUCAUCCUUGUGGAUGCACGCAAGCCUCUUUUUUUUGGAGAAGGCACAGUCUUGAGGCAGGUGGAUACAGUUACUGGCAAGUUGAAAAUUGGAACCUACACAGGUCCUUUGCAGCAUGGUAUUGUCUACUCUGGAGGCUCCUCUGACACAGUAUGUGAUCUCCUGGGAGCCAAAGGCAAAGACAUCUUAUAUAUAGGUGACCAUAUAUUUGGAGACAUUUUGAAGUCCAAAAAACGCCAAGGUUGGAGAACUUUUUUAGUGAUUCCAGAACUGGCACAGGAACUUCAUGUCUGGACAGACAAAAGCUGCCUUUUCGAAGAACUUCAGAGUCUAGACAUCUUUUUGGCUGAGCUAUACAAGCAUUUGGAUAGUAGCAGCAAUGAACGUCCCGAUAUCAGUUCCAUCCAGAGGCGUAUUAAGAAAGUGACUCAUGACAUGGAUAUGUGCUAUGGGAUGAUGGGAAGUUUGUUCCGAAGUGGUUCCCGACAAACGCUGUUUGCUAGUCAAGUGAUGCGAUAUGCAGAUCUCUAUGCAGCAUCUUUCAUCAACCUCUUGUAUUAUCCUUUCAGUUACCUCUUCAGAGCUGCCCACGUGCUGAUGCCACACGAGUCAACAGUGGAGCACACCCAUGUGGAUAUCAAUGAGACUGAAUCCCCAAUGGCUACCCGUAACCGCACUUCAGUGGACUUCAAAGAUUCCGACAAGCGACAUCAGCUCACCCGAUCUGUUAGUGAGAUUAAACCACCCAAUCUCUUCCCUCAAACACCCCAAGAGAUUACACAUUGCCAUGAUGAGGAUGAUGAUGAGGAGGAGGAAGAAGAGGAAGAAUAGAAAAUACUUUCAUUAAAUGUGGCUAUAGCAGGAAUUGGCAGGAAUGGAUUCCCCCCAAGUGGGGAAUAAUACACAAGCAAGCAAACAAAAACUAAUCAGGAGCCCUUUAUCUUUAGCAAGCUUAUUCCUUGCAGAUCUAUUCCAAAUAUAUAAAGAAUGUGCUGGCUGAAUGAAGACCACAUAUAGACAGCCCAAAUGCAUCCCCCGCACACACAUAAAAAGGAAGGCUUGUUUAUGUAUUUUUUAAUUCUCUACUGGUUCAUUUCAUUAAAGUAGCCUCUCAGGCAGGAAGGUUUCCAUGACCUGCAGUAAUCACAGCAAUUAUAGUAGUUAUUUGAUCCUUUAGGGGUGGAGUCCUCUCUCUCCUCAAUCCCGUAUGUGUAAAAAUGGGAGUAUUUUCAGGGUUCAGUUCAUCUGGUCAAGCGCGGUCCUCUGCCUUAGCUCUACUGAUUUCCAGCUUCUAUUCAUCUUUAUACUUUAUGAUUGAUGAAAUACCAUCUGUUCUUGGAUGUCUGAUAGGUAGUUUUCUGUGGCUGAAAUUUGAAAGCUUUAUCAUUCUGAUGGAGGCAUGUGAUACCUGUGUUCUGGAACUUUCUAAAAUGGAUCCUUAUGCUUGUGCUUUGCCCGGAUUAUUUCUACUGGGGAGAUCUAUGCCUUUUGUGCUCAAUUUUAUGGGAGAAGGAAAAUAAGAAGUGGUUUUGUAUGCGUGCAUGGCCUCAAAGAAAACAAAUGCUCAUGUAGUCCAGACAAAGAAAAUUACAACCUUAAAAAAGGAAGUUUUAUUUGCACCUCUUUUCAUUACUUUAUUAUUGCUAAAACUGUAGCUCUGUGUCAGAGUGAGAUUCUUUUUUUCAGCUAGCAGCCACUCGGCUCACUCCUACAGAGUUGGAAUAUGUGGCAGCAAAUGGUUCCAGAGCCUUUACAAAAAAGAACGCCUUCAACAGGAUGUCCUUGUUUGGGCCACUGUUUUUACCUCCAUUCCAAGAAUGAGACUCAAUGAAGGUCAGCUUCAUAAUAUUUGUAAAAGGCUCCGAGGGCCUGGCUUGUUGUCUUAUUAAUUACUUCAGGCUGUUAAAUUAAAGCACAUUUCCUGGUAGUUACUCUCUAGUGCAAGGCUGCCUGGGUUUCUUUUUCAUAUAAAUAAGCAAUUUCCUGGAGUGUAAACAUAUCUCUUACCAUUCUGUGCCAUUGGUGUAUAGAAGACAGAAAAGAGGCCCUAUUUUAAAAUAUUGGAAUUUUUAUUUUGAAUCAUUUAAUAGUAAUUAUAUUCCAUUAUUAAACACACUGAAUUGCAAAUCAGCAGGAUAAGCUGGUACUGCUCUGACAGAUCUGCAAAUAAAAAUUAUGAUAUUCAUAAGCAGCUUUUUAUGUGUUUCUGAAAAGAUGCAAAAAGGUAAAGUUAUCAGUGUUAGACUGGCUAACCAAAAGUUUUACAAGCAAGUUUAAAGAUAUGUGAAUAACAUCUCAUCCAGGGAUAAUUACCAUUAUGAAAAGUACAGAUGUUUCAUGAAAUGUAGAGCAAUUCUGGGAUAUUCAGCUCCCAUUAUCCAAACCUUAUUGCAUUUUGCUGUAACUUGAUGGCAAUGGUGGGCAAUUUGGAUUUUGUCCAGAGGUUAAUCUUGGAAUAGAAAUGAAUACCUACAUCAUAAUGAGCUGUGUAUUAUCAGUGCAAUCAGAAUUGGAAGAGGCUGCCCAUAGGCAACAGAUCGAGGUUGUCUUAGGAGUUCCAACAACCCACACUUAACCAAUUGCAAUCCUGUUCUGUGUUAUUGUGGAUUUCUGCCUUGUGAACCAGCUCUUAGUUGCCCCAUCAAUAAUUUCACCAAGUUGCAGUCAUCUUGUCUUAGUUUGGAAAAAGAGCUUUUAACUGCUCUGGUGGUAAGUAUAGUCAGUUCAACUACUACUUUUAUUUCUAAAAGAAAUUAUUUACAAUGGUAGCAAGCAUUUCCAGCAACCCUUCAAAUUUGUCCUCAACACUUCGAUAGGAAAGAAGAUGAUCAAAAAGUGGGGAAUGCUGGAAGGUGGGAUUUGUUGCCAGUAGUAUCAUAUACAGCAAAAUAAUUUAGAUCCUCCAGAGCAGAUUUGAAGAAACCAGAAGUACAGAAAAAAGAACCCAAUUGUGGCAAUGGAGACUCAUUGAUCUGGUGACUGACCAUUAACAAGACUGCAAGUAAUCAUUCAUGAACAACAAAGUCAAAUCCUGACCAAAGACUUUCGGAAGUCAAACAUUCCUUUGGAAGAAGCCUUCCAUUCUCCCUGGAAGCUACUUUUAGAAAAUUACCAUCUUGUCCUCUUAUUAACAAAAGAUGAUGCAUGGAAUGUGAAGGA